rnacentral:lncRNA from 1 species
GACUCAGAGACGCCGGGUCCCCCGCCUGCUCCCUACCCGGCUAGGUCUGGCCCCGAGAGGUCCCGAAGCCCAUCUUCUGUCCCCGACUCCUACCUCGGGGCUGAGAUGCAGCUAACCGCGGUGCGCCCCGACGCCCGGCCACCUUCGAGCCUGGAGCUAGCCGAGGUGUCUGGCCACCGCCGGCGUCAAGAACAAAGGCUGCCUGUCCCGGGAGGGGGAGGGGAGGGAGCCGCCCCCAGACCCGCUCCGGGCUCCUUUCCUUCCCCCAACUGCGGCACAAGCUCCCCGGGGAGGGGGCGGGGCCGGCCGGGCUGGGCGCAGACGAGCAUCAGCUCCUCCUCCACCGUCCUCGGCUAGGAUGGCACCCGAGCUUUCCAGGGAGAGCAGGGAUAAGGGUACCCCCAAACUGUCGUCACUGGGGUGGUUCUUCCUUCUUCCCCUGCAUCCCGGGCGCCCCGCCCCCGCGACCGCCUUGGGCGCCCUUCCCAGUCUCUGCAGCGCCCGGCCGCCCCAGA